UAUAUAUCUUCGCGAUCAACUGUAGCUUAUCAUCACAAUCGCCUCUUCGUCUUCUCCGAAUACAUAACAUAUCUUCUUAGAUGUUUGUUGUUUAGUUUUUUUAUGUAAUGAUCAAAUACAAGGUUGCUUAACAUGUAGGUGGCCGGCCCAGUCCCUGUGUUGCAUUCAAUUUCGGCCGAGUGGUCUAACAUUAAUUGUUGACAGCGGAUCGAGUUGUAUGUAAGCCCCAAUUAAUAAUCUCCAUUUAACAACAGUUUUUUCUGCUUCCAUUGUUGUUGCGAGGAAUAUGGAUUGUAGCAGGAGGAUAGACAGAUCAAGAAUCAGGGCUUUGACAUGGCAAGGAAGAAAGUCUCUUGGUUGUUGUGAUGAAUUAAGCUCAAUCAAAAUGAUGCUGGGAUUCAGAUCUUGAGAGCUCCACUGCUACCCUUACCGCCGCUGCAGCAUAAGCGGCCGAUCUGAAAGCUUCUUCUGCUGCUUCAGCAAAAUCCUUGUAUUUUCUUCUUGCUUCAUUUUCAACUGAAUUAUGCUCCAGCUCUGGGUGUUUCUGCUUCUGUUCUCUGUCCAAAUUUUCCUGCAGUUUCACAUAAGAAAACAUUUAUAUAUUUUAUUAGAGAAUCUUUCCAAUGGAUAUACAAUUUUUCUGUCAA